AAAGUCUCUAGAGGUGAACAAGUUGAGCAGGGUUCAGAGAGACAAAAGGUGCCUCUAUUACACUGGAAGGCUCAGAGGAGUUCAGACUCUGAAGUUUGAGCCCUGAGCAGAGAUGGCAGCAGCCUUAUGUAGAGAUCUAUGGGAUGCAAACAAGGUCAUGGCUGCAAAACAUGAUUCUCACAGAAUCCACUUCUCAGGAGCCAGCACGUCAGGAAAGCAGCUAUGGAAUAAUGGACUGAGAGUGCAGAAACCCCAGGCCAAGCUCUGAUCCUGCCACUUUCUGAUAGUGUCACUUUGCCACUCAAACUCUAUUUAUUCGCAUCUCAAUGGGAGGUAAUACCCGCUUCACAAGGUGGCGGUGACUAUUGUAUGUGACACAGGAGCAUGUGCCCUCAAUAACCUCCAAACCCAGAACCAAGUACUUCUUGUUAAAUUUGACGUACAGCAAGUGUGAUGAAGAGGACUCCCCAGAUCCCUAAUUUGCUGGCCAUCCAUAAACUCAAGAGAUGUAACAACUGAAGACCUGAAAAUGUGUGUACUGUUGGCAUCAAUUUUUUUUUUCCUGUGUGCCUUGGCUUUUCA